UACGGAGGGUGCAAGCGUUACUCGGAAUUACUGGGCGUAAAGGAUGCGCAGGCGGUUUUGAAAGUCAGAUGUGAAAUCCUAUGGCUUAACCAUAGAACUGCAUUUGAAACUUCAUGACUAGAGUGAGGGAGAGGUAAAUGGAAUUAGUGGUGUAGGGGUAAAAUCCGUAGAGAUCACUAGGAAUACUCAUUGCGAAGGCGAUUUACUGGAACUUUACUGACGCUGAGGCAUGAAAGCGUGGGGAGCAAACAGGAUUAGAUACCCUGGUAGUCCACGCCCUAAACGAUGUACACUAGUUGUUGCGGUGCAAGUCAUCGCAGUGAUGCAGCUAACGCAUUAAGUGUACCGCCUGGGGAGUACGGUCGCAAGAUUAAAACUCAAAGGAAUAGACGGGGACCCGCACAAGCGGUGGAGCAUGUGGUUUAAUUCGAAGAUACGCGAAGAACCUUACCUGGACUUGACAUCCUAUAAAUGAUUUAGAGAUAGAUUAGUGUUAGUUUACUAGAAUAUAGUGACAGGUGCUGCACGGCUGUCGUCAGCUCGUGUCGUGAGAUGUUGGGUUAAGUCCCGCAACGAGCGCAACCCUCGUCGUUAGUUGCUAACAGUUCGGCUGAGCACUCUAACGAGACUGCCUUCGUAAGGAGGAGGAAGGUGAGGACGACGUCAAGUCAUCAUGGCCCUUAUGUCCAGGGCUACACACGUGCUACAAUGGGGAGGACAAUGAGACGCGAUACCGCGAGGUGGAGCAAAUCUAUAAACCUUCUCUCAGUUCGGAUAGCACUCUGCAACUCGAGUGCUUGAAGCUGGAAUCGCUAGUAAUCGUAGAUCAGCAAUGCUACGGUGAAUACGUUCCCGGGUC
rnacentral:rRNA from 1 species